GUAAAAGUCGUAACAAGGUUUCCGUAGGUGAGUACACGAAGCCUCCCGUCUCGACCCACGACGAUCGAUUGCUAACCAUAUUCUCUAUGUGAACCUGCGGAAGGAUCAUUACCGAGUGAGGGUCGCAAGGCCCGAACCUCCCACCCAUGUGUAUCGACCUCUGUUGCUUCGGUGGACCCGCGGGUACCCCCCGCCGCCGGCUCCGGCCGGCCCGCGUCCACCAGAGGCCCUAUCAACUCGUCCAUGUUGCGGUCCAAGUAUGAUAUCAAUCAUUAAAACUUUCAACAACGGAUCUCUUGGUUCUGGCAUCGAUGAAGAACGCAGCGAAAUGCGAUAAGUAAUGUGAAUUGCAGAAUUCAGUGAAUCAUCGAAUCUUUGAACGCACAUUGCGCCCCUUGGUAUUCCGAGGGGCAUGCCUGUUCGAGCGUCAUUGUCAUCCUCAAGCUCGGCUUGGUGUUGGGCCUCCGUCCGCUCGCGACGGGCCCGAAACGCAGUGGCGACCCCGCCGGAUCUCGGGCGUAGUAAAGCAUCACGUCUGUGGAUCCGACGGCCGGUCCGCCGAAUCGUCAUAUCACAGUUUGACCUCGGAUCAGGUAGGGAUACCCGCUGAACUUA
rnacentral:rRNA from 1 species